rnacentral:rRNA from 1 species
CCUACGGGGGGCAGCAGUGGGGAAUAUUGGACAAUGGGCGAAAGCCUGAUCCAGCCAUGCCGCGUGUGUGAAGAAGGCCUUCGGGUUGUAAAGCACUUUCAGUGGGGAAGAAAGCCUUGGGGCUAAUACCCUCGAGGAAGGACAUCACCACAGAAGAAGCACCGGCUAACUCCGUGCCAGCAGCCGCGGUAAUACGGAGGGUGCGAGCGUUAAUCGGAAUUACUGGGCGUAAAGCGCGCGUAGGCGGUCUGAUAAGCCGGUUGUGAAAGCCCCGGGCUCAACCUGGGAACGGCAUCCGGAACUGUCAGGCUAGAGUGCAGGAGAGGAAGGUAGAAUUCCCGGUGUAGCAGUGAAAUGCGUAGAGAUCGGGAGGAAUACCAGUGGCGAAGGCGGCCUUCUGGACUGACACUGACGCUGAGGUGCGAAAGCGUGGGUAGCAAACAGGAUUAGAUACCCGGGUAGUC